UGCAUUGGGCGAGCUAGUCUUCCGUACCUUCCUCCCAGUGACGUCCCUGGAUGGUUCUUGUAUUCCCGUCGGAGCCCAUAUAUAUAUGGGUUCCGGUGUUAUGGUCACUUCUGGUCCUCCCCUGUGCGGUUUCCCUCCAUGUUAGUGUUUGUUAACCUACAAAUCUGCACUCUCUCUAAGUAAGUUAGAUAGCAGAGCUCCGUUCAAGCUUUUCAUCCGUCACUGUCCGCUAUCCGUGCAGGUAAUAGGUAUAGGUAAGGACCUUGAAGCAUGGCCAAGCAUCAUCCUGAUUUAAUUAUGUGCCGGAAGCAGCCGGGAAUUGCCAUUGGACGACUUUGUGAGAAAUGUGAUGGGAAAUGUGUAAUAUGCGACUCCUACGUGCGUCCUUGUACACUUGUGCGAGUUUGUGAUGAGUGCAAUUAUGGAUCCUUCCAAGGUCGAUGUGUUAUAUGUGGAGGGGUUGGCAUCUCAGAUGCCUACUAUUGCAAAGAGUGUACACAGCAGGAGAAAGAUAGAGAUGGGUGUCCAAAAAUUGUUAAUUUAGGGAGUGCCAAAACAGAUCUGUUCUACGAACGCAAGAAAUAUGGUUUUAAGAAAAGAUGAUGAGCCAUGCCAUGGGCUGUGCUUCUUGUGUGCCAUUGUUUUCUAGACAAGAAGACACCCAAUUUAAACUGUUGUAACAAUCUCUUGAGGGUUUGAGUUUAUAUUUACUGAAGUUAUGAUGAACUGCUAUUGAUUAGAACUUACUUAUAAUGUUGAACAUGGUUGUUUACCUGAACUGACACUAUUGCUUAUAAUCUAAUGUGCUUGC
rnacentral:misc_RNA from 1 species